UAGUGGCGAACGGGUGAGUAACACGUGGGCAAUCUGCCCUGUACUUUGGGAUAAGCCUGGGAAACUGGGUCUAAUACCGGAUAUGACUUCCGCGGGCAUCCGUGGUGGUGGAAAGCUCCGGCGGUACAGGAUGAGCCCGCGGCCUAUCAGCUUGUUGGUGGGGUAAUGGCCUACCAAGGCGACGACGGGUAGCCGGCCUGAGAGGGUGACCGGCCACACUGGGACUGAGACACGGCCCAGACUCCUACGGGAGGCAGCAGUGGGGAAUAUUGCACAAUGGGCGCAAGCCUGAUGCAGCGACGCCGCGUGAGGGAUGACGGCCUUCGGGUUGUAAACCUCUUUCGCCAGGGACGAAGCGCAAGUGACGGUACCUGGAUAAGAAGCACCGGCUAACUACGUGCCAGCAGCCGCGGUAAUACGUAGGGUGCGAGCGUUGUCCGGAAUUAUUGGGCGUAAAGAGCUCGUAGGCGGUUUGUCGCGUCGUUCGUGAAAACUCCACGCUUAACGUGGAGCGUGCGGGCGAUACGGGCAGACUUGAGUUCGGUAGGGGAGACUGGAAUUCCUGGUGUAGCGGUGAAAUGCGCAGAUAUCAGGAGGAACACCGGUGGCGAAGGCGGGUCUCUGGGCCGAUACUGACGCUGAGGAGCGAAAGCGUGGGGAGCGAACAGGAUUAGAUACCCUGGUAGUCCACGCUG
rnacentral:rRNA from 1 species